rnacentral:rRNA from 1 species
CGCGUGGGAAUCUGCCUUGGGGUGGGGAAUAACCGCUGGAAACGGCGGCUAAUACCGCAUACGCCUUAAGAGGGAAAGCUUUCGAGUGCCCUGGGAGGAGCCCGCGUCCGAUUAGCUUGUUGGUGGGGUAAAGGCCUACCAAGGCUACGAUCGGUAGCUGGUCUGAGAGGAUGAUCAGCCACACUGGGACUGAGACACGGCCCAGACUCCUACGGGAGGCAGCAGUGGGGAAUAUUGGACAAUGGGCGCAAGCCUGAUCCAGCCAUGCCGCGUGAGUGAAGAAGGCCUUAGGGUGUAAAGCUCUUUC